rnacentral:rRNA from 1 species
UCGAGAAUCUUCGGCAAUGGACGAAAGUCUGACCGAGCGACGCCGCGUGCGGGAUGGAGGCCUUCGGGUUGUAAACCGCUGUCAGUUGGGAGGACCGAUCUUCAGAGGAAGGACGGGCUAAGUUCGUGCCAGCAGCCGCGGUAAGACGAACCGUCCGAACGUUAUUCGGUAUCACUGGGCUUAAGCGUUCGUAGGCGGCCUAGUAGGUGAGAUGUGAAAGCCCUCGGCUUAACCGAGGAACAGCGUUUCAAACCACUGGGCUAGAGGGUGGCAGGGGUAAUGGGAACUGAUGGUGGAGCGGUGAAAUGCGUUGAUAUCAUCAGGAACACCGGUGGCGAAAGCGCAUUACUGGGCCAUUUCUGACGCUGAGGAACGAAAGCUAGGGUAGCGAACGGGAUUAGAUACCCGAGUAGU